ensembl:snRNA U2 U2 spliceosomal RNA
AUGGGUUUUGUAAUAAAAAAAAAAAAAAAAAAAAAAAAAAUCUGUUCUUAUCAGUUUAAUACCUGAUACGUCCUCCAUUCGAGGACUUUAUAUUAACGGAUUUUUAGAGCGAGGAGCUGGAAGAGGGGCUUGCUCCGUCCGCUCCACGCAUCGACCUGGUAUUGCAGUACCUCCAGGAACGGUGCACCUUUU